rnacentral:rRNA from 1 species
UACGUAGGGGGCGAGCGUUGUCCGGAGUUACUGGGCGUAAAGCGCACGCAGGCGGUGCUGCGCGUUUGGGGUUACAGCUCCCGGCUCAACCGGGAGAGCGCCUCGAAGACGGCAGCACUUGAGGGCCAGAGAGGGACACGGAACUCCGGAUGGAGUGGUGAAAUGCGUAGAUAUCCGGAAGAACACCAAAGGCGAAGGCAGUGUCCUGGCUGGUACCUGACGCUCAGGUGCGAAAGCUAGGGGAGCGAACGGG